CCUACGGGAGGCAGCGGUAGGGAAUCUUCCACAAUGGACGAAAGUCUGAUGGAGCAAUGCCGCGUGAGUGAAGAAGGUUUUCGGAUCGUAAAACUCUGUUGUUGAAGAAGAACAUAUGUGAGAGUAACUGUUCACGUACUGACGGUAUUCAACCAGAAAGCCACGGCUAACUACGUGCCAGCAGCCGCGGUAAU
rnacentral:rRNA from 1 species